GUUUCCAUUUUGCGACAGGAUCUUUCCCUUGUGCACUGAAGAUCUCUACAGCAGCUCCACCCUUUGAAGGAAAUGCCAUUCGUUUUCAGGACACAGACAGGCAGGAGCAGUGUGCAGGUUGUGUGUGCCAGAGACAGAUGGGCCACAUCUACAACAAUCCCCACCACAUCAAGCAAACAGGACGCAAAACUGAAUCAAAGAAAACUUGCUACAUAGCUCACAACAUGGACAAAAUAACGUUCAUUGUCUCAGGGUCUGUGGGGUCAUCAGAGUCCAGGCAGGUUUCAUGCGUACUCUUCUUGGCUUUACCCUGUGGAAGCUGGGCCUUGUUGGAGCGGAGAGGUCGGGGAGAGGUUACUAGCACUUUCACCUGCCUC